rfam:Asian citrus Psyllid, Diaphorina citri - Florida Strain, whole genome shotgun sequence.
GCCUAGUUAGCUUGGUAGGUAGCGCGUCUGCCUUCUAAGCGCUAAGCCGUGGGUUCGAUUCCCGCCCGGGGUA